AAUACAACCUGUGGCUCCUUUACCAUAUUUAAUUUUCAACUCUCUAUUUCCCUGAUUUCCAAAGCGAUCCACUGUCCUGUCUCUUCCAUAAAAGCAUAAAUACCUUCCCUCCCCCAACAUUAUAUGAUAAAGGUUUGAAACUUCAGUUAGAUAUUACACAACAGUUCAUAUUGUUUGACUUCCCUUCAAGCAGAAUGUCUUCUUAGAGGACCUGAACUGGCAUGUUUAUUCCUUUAAUUAUCAUUUCACACUUUCAUCCCUCAUGGGUUCCUGGAUGCAGCUAUGAUGAGCUAAUGUCUGCAGCUGAAAAUACGACGUACAAGGUAUACGACUUGCAUACAGUAUUCUCUGGAGAACAAAAGAAGUUCACACUCAGCUCUGUCUGCUUGGUUCCUGUUGUCUUAUCUGUGCUGCACUCAAACACAAUCUAGUCGGUAGGCUCCUCUUUAUGCCAGAUAACAGAUAACACUGCAUAAGCAGCACUCAAAUAAACAAAACCACCUGUCAUACCUGAAGGCUGCGUCUUGUCUCUCUCACAGCAGAGACACAACUGCUGUCAUUGAUCUCUCACUCUGGCUCCCUCCUGAUUGAGGUUCAUUCCUUUCACCUGCUCUCACCUGCACACCAGCUCUCCAUCUCCUCAUCAACUCAGCAGUAUAUAUACCCCGGCUCUCCAUGCACUCAUUGCCAGAUUGUUGUAUCAACUACUGCGGUAGACGACGUCUCGGGCUAAUUAGGAUUUUGAAAGAUCUUUGAAAUUAAUCUUUUGUGCUUGUUUUAGUUUUUGAGUCCCAUCCUGUUUUUUCCUUUGCUUCAGGAUCACCAUUCACCCACCUGCCUUCCUGCUCAGCCAUCUACCUCAACCUGAUCUCUGGACUCAAAACUGCUCAGCCACACUCACACCCCAACUCUAGUCUGGUCAGCCUUCAUCCCCUUCACUCUGCUAACCUCCAGAGUCUUCAACCUAUCUUCAUCUCCAUUUGCCACAAUAAACCUCAUUACCAAUCAAC